CUGGGAGGGGCCUGAGAACAGGGGAUGUCAGAGCUGGGAGGGGCCUGAGAACAGGGGAUGUCAGGGCUGGGAGGGGCCUGAGAACAGGGGAUGUCAGGGCUGGGAAGGGUCUUAAAAACCAUACAGGCAUUUAAUAGAGGAGACUACAGCCUGGAAAGGGCAUAGGACUUGUCUAAGGUCUCCCAGGCAAUUAAACAAUUUUACAUCAUAGAUUAACUACCACAUUUGUGAGUCUUUUCCCAACAAUAACAUUGCCAAUGUAUACAACGCUUUAUAAUUUCAAAGCAUUUUACAUCCAUUACACCUAGUAAACUGGAGAUUUGGGUAUGGAGUCAGGAAGCCCUGAGCUCAAUCUAACCUCAGAUAAUUCCCAGCUGUGUGACUCUAGGUAAGUCACUUACAUGCCUACAUUUCCUCAAUUGAAGAGAUUAAAACAAUGCCUGUGCCCCAGAGUUGAGGCAGGAUUGAAUGAGACAUGUUUGUGAAGCCUUCCGCACUGUGCCUCCACGUGGUGGGUGACUGAUGUAUUCUCUCUCUUUUCCCUCGUUUGGUCCUAACCCCUCCAUGAGCUGAGAUCAGCACGCGGUGUUGCUCCACUGGCGCUGGAGGAGCCCAGGCUCGGAGGGGAGGCACAUCCCUGAAGUGUCGUGCUUUCUUCACUCUCUAAGAGGACCAGUGACAUCCCGGGAGCUGCCUUGGCUCGGGGUGAAUUAGAUUUAAGUGAGGCCGAGCCGCACUCUCCUCGGCCUCGAGCUCUCUCGCAGUCACCGGAGGUUGGUGGCAGGACAGAGUCAGGAUGCCUGGAGAUGCCCGGGGUGCGGUGGGCGCCGGCGGCGUCUUUCACGUCUAACCAAGCGCCUGCCUCGGCCGCCUUCGUGGCCGUUGGAACACAUUGUUCUCAUCCGCUGUCUUCCCCCGCUCGGGCAGACGCCUCCCUAACUCAUCCCCGGGCUUGAGGUCUGUGGUUUCCCUCAGCCUCGUUUCGCCCGUCUGCCAGAGGCAGUUUUCACCGGGGCGGAACCCACGGCUGUGCUUCAGCUUCUUGGAGCCCAAGGAGGUCGGGGGAGGACAGGCGGACGCCCAUGGUGGAGGAGCGCGGCACCCCUCCCAGAGGUGCUGGCAGGGCUGGGUCCCCCAGAGCUCGGACUCCAGCCCGAGCGUCCAAGGCCAGGAGCUCUCCACUGCCGGGGCGGCCUUGUUCCCUUCGACCAAGCAAGCAUUUUUAACAACACUGCCUUGAUUCCAAAUGUGUCCCUCCCACAUCCCUGUCAUGAAGAUUCAGCAGGAAAGAUAAAGACAGUUCAGCAGAACCGCCAACGUCACCCGGCCUCCUAGUGGGCGCCCUACUCCAAACCCCUCGGCCCCCACCCCUGUAAAGAU
rnacentral:lncRNA from 1 species